CAUCAGAAGGCGAAGAAGAAGAAGAAACUACA
rnacentral:sRNA from 1 species